rnacentral:lncRNA from 1 species
ACUUUUUUUUUUUUUUUUUUAAGAUUUUAUUUGAGAGAGAGAAAGAGCACAAGCAGGGGGAGAGGGAGAAGUAGGCAUCCUGCUGAGCAGGGAGCCCAAUGUGAGGUUCAAUCCCAAGAUCCUGGCAUCAUGACAUGAGGAAGGCAGACGCUUAACCGACUGAGCCGCCCGGGCCUCCAACAUUUGAACUUCUGCAGCUCAGGAGCAGGGGUAACUAAAGUCAUCCUGGACCCGACUGCUUUCCCCUUUUUUAUACACAGCCCUAUAAUCCUGUCACUAACUUGACCAUAUUUGACCUAAUUCUAUUAUGUAUUUUGUUCAUUUGAAUGGACAGAUACUAACUCUGAAAAGAAAUUAUAGCUCGUUUGUUACUCUGUAAAAAAUGAAUCCAAAAGCAGUGCAAUGUAUGAUUUUUAUGCAAAACAAGUCUCAGUUCUAGUUAAGGCAGCAGAGUGUACUUCUGAAAUGUGUUCCUUGAGAAUUCUGGAUCUUUCAUUGUUUUCUUCUGGUCUAUACAUUUCUGUCUUCUAGACUAGCAUUCAGAUUGUGAUGGAAAUCUAGAUUGUGUGUUUGCUGUGGAUUAGGAAUUAGUUCCCUGUGUUCCGGAGGCUCUGUGACAGUUGAGUAGAAAAUGUGUAAGUUUUGAAUUGCAGCCUGACAACAAUAUGGGUCUUAAAGCACACCUUGAAAGAAAGAUCAUGGUGCUGAGUGAUGAAAAUCAAGGGUCAGCAAACAUUUUCUAAAGGGCAGUAAAUGUGUUAGGCUUUGCAAGCCCUGGAGUCUGUUAAAGCUACUCCCUUGCCAUUCUAACGCCAGAGCAGCCACAGAGGAUUCUGAACCAAAGGAUGUGGCCGUGUCCCAUCAGUCUACAAAAACACUGGCUGUGGGACACCUGGGUGGCUCAGCGGUUGAGCGUCUGCCUUUGGCGCUCAGGGCGUGAUCUGGAGACCUAGGAUUGAGUCCCACAUCAGGCUCCCUGCAUGGAGCCUGCUUCUCCCUCUGCCUGUGUCUGUACCGCGCCCCCCCCCCCCCCCCCCCGUCUCAUGAAUAAAUAAAAUCUUUAAAAAAAACCCACUGUGGUUUGCUGACCCCUGAUUAAAGUCACUGCCUGGGUUUAAAAAUAUGAGUGUUGACAGCAUGGGUGGGCAGAUUUAACCUCUGUACCUUAGUUGCCUUGUCUAAGGUAGAAAUGAUCGUGCACACGGUUUAGCCGCAGCUACUUCCUAGUCUGAGCCGUUGCGAGCCCAUCCACCGCUGCCUUUGUGCUCCCUUUUAACUGUUCGACAGCACCUACCACAUGAGGCUUGCAGUAUGGACAAAACCUGUGGAAGCACUGGGGACAGUGCCUAGUAGGGCAGGGUCGCUACUUGAGUACACGUCUGAAGAGACAAUUUGGGCAGGAUCUGCUUUUACAACUAGUUAACUAGUUAUUUCCUCUGGGAAAUGGAAGUAGGAUUUACCAACAAGAAUCCAGCCAAGAAUGUUACUAAGCUAUGUAACAAAAAUUGACCCCAGUACAAGUGCUGAGCAAAACAUGGUCAGCCUUCAGUUAGGGGACACGUAAUUCCAUAACAAGGAAAAGUAGAGGGUGCACAGUGGAGAAUUGGGAGAAAUCCGAGAAAUACCAUAGUAAAUAAUGCAGUGUGCAAACACUGGCCUCAAAUGGAGUUGGGCAUUUAGCAAACUGUACCGUAGACACUAAAAUUGUGCCCACUCCUGGCACCCGGGUGGCUCGGUUGGUGUCCAGCUCUUGCUGUCAGCUCACGUCAUGACUGGGGUCUCUCCCUCUGCUCCAACACCCGUGCAUGCUCUCUCUCUAAAACAGAUAAAUCUUAAAAACAUCUAUGCCCAUUCCUGGUCACUGGAAAACCCUCCUGGAGCUGAGGCUUUCAGUCUAGGCUUGCCACCACAGCUGGGGUUGCGCCAGAGUGUGGCCCAGGGUACGGAACCAGGAUGGGCUACCUCGCAGGUGAAGGAGCCAGGCAGCCUGUUGGUCGGGUCUCCACGCCCUCUCCCCACAGCUGCCCCUGGCUCCUGCCUAGGGCGGGUAUUACCAUGAAGUCACAAUUAGGUGACAGUGGAAAAGAAUGUGCCAAGUGUCUUGUAGCCCAUUUAGAAACCUGGUCUCAGUCCCCAGAUGCAGCUAACUCUUGUGUCAGCAUAGGUAGAAACCUGGUGGGGCCAGCAGCCUUUGUGUGUUUCUGUCCCAGCUGUACACGGCUGCCACUUUACCACUUUAUUUCACAGUCCCAGGUUUUCUCAAACUCCUGUACUCUUGACCUCAGCUGCCAUGUUUUCUGACAUUUUAAAUACUUGGCCUUUAAAAUAUUUAUAGGGGGUGGCUCAGCAGUUUAGCGCCUGCCUUUGGCCCAGGGUGUGAUCCUGGAGACCCAGGAUCGAGUCCCACGUCAGGUUCCCUGCGUGGAGCCUGCUUCUCCCUCUGCCUGUGUCUUUGCUACUCUCUCUCUGUCUCUCAUGAGUGAAUAAAUAAAAUCUUAAAAAAAAAAAAAAAAA